CACACAAAAACUUUUUCAAAAAGAAAGUGCGGAAAACAAAGAUCCAUAAGACGUUGAGCUGUGUGAACAGAUGGCCGCGAAGUUCAAAGUGGAUUGUUGCUGCAGCCUCAGUUAUAUACAUCUUGUGGUAUUUAAAAACAAUGUCUAAGUGAAGAGUAUUCAAAAACAAAAACUUUUCAAGUUGAUUGGGUUAAAAGUCCUGUGGUCAAGUCAAAAGGAACAAGUCUUUUCCAUUAAACAGAGGAACUUGACGGCAUGUUCAGGCAAGAAGAGGCCAAAUGAAGAGAAUCAGAUGGCAAAAUGGCAUCCAAAAGGGAAUUUUUGAUGAUGAACUUGAGGGCUUAUAGCAGAAAAGAAGAGGUUGCAUCAUACACAAAAGAACACUUUGCAUCAUAC